GGGUCGUAGCCGGUCCCGGCUUCCGGUUCCGGCGCGCGGUCCCCUGUGCGGCGGCUCCUGUGCUACGUGUCACUGGAGUUCAGGCCGACGGCGGGCAGCAGGCAUCAUGGAUCAGGUGAUGCAGUUCGUGGAGCCGAGUCGGCAGUUCGUGAAGGACUCCAUUCGGCUGGUUAAGAGAUGCACGAAACCGGAUAGAAAAGAAUUCCAGAAGAUUGCCAUGGCAACAGCAAUAGGAUUUGCUAUAAUGGGAUUCAUCGGAUUUUUUGUGAAACUGAUCCAUAUUCCUAUUAAUAACAUCAUUGUUGGUGGCUGAAGACCUUUUUUGAAAAGUAUGUUUUGGGGAUUCGUGAACAAAUGAGGAUUUGAGAAGCUCAUGGAGUAAAAAUUUGCCCGUAAA